CCUACGGGAGGCUGCAGUGGGGAAUAUUGCACAAUGGGGGAAACCCUGAUGCAGCGACGCCGCGUGAGUGAAGAAGUAUUUCGGUACGUAAAGCUCUAUCAGCAGGGAAGAAAAUGACGGUACCUGACUAAGAAGCACCGGCUAACUACGUGCCAGCAGCCGCGGUAAUACGUAGGGGGCAAGCGUUAUCCGGAUUUACUGGGUGUAAAGGGAGCGUAGACGGCAGCGCAAGUCUGGAGUGAAAUCCCAUGGCUUAAACAUGGAACUGCUUUGGAAACUGUGCAGCUAGAGUGCAGGAGAGGUAAGCGGAAUUCCUAGUGUAGCGGUGAAAUGCGUAGAUAUUAGGAGGAACGCCAGUGGCGAAGGCGGCUUACUGGACUGUAACUGACGUUGAGGCUCGAAAGCGUGGGGAGCAAACAGGAUUAGAUACCCCUGUAGUC
rnacentral:rRNA from 1 species